rnacentral:rRNA from 1 species
UAAUGCUUAGGAAUCUGCCUAUUAGUGGGGGACAACAUUCCGAAAGGGAUGCUAAUACCGCAUACGCCCUACGGGGGAAAGCAGGGGAUCUUCGGACCUUGCGCUAAUAGAUGAGCCUAAGUCGGAUUAGCUAGUUGGUGGGGUAAAGGCCUACCAAGGCGACGAUCUGUAGCGGGUCUGAGAGGAUGAUCCGCCACACUGGGACUGAGACACGGCCCAGACUCCUACGGGAGGCAGCAGUGGGGAAUAUUGGACAAUGGGCGGAAGCCUGAUCCAGCCAUGCCGCGUGUGUGAAGAAGGCCUUUUGGUUGUAAAGCACUUUAAGCGAGGAGGAGGCUCUUAAGGUUAAUACCCUUGAUGAGUGGACGUUACUCGCAGAAUAAGCACCGGCUAACUCUGUGCCAGCAGCCGCGGUAAUACAGAGGGUGCGAGCGUUAAUCGGAUUUACUGGGCGUAAAGCGUGCGUAGGCGGCUGAUUAAGUCGGAUGUGAAAUCCCUGAGCUUAACUUAGGAAUUGCAUUCGAUACUGGUCAGCUAGAGUAUGGGAGAGGAUGGUAGAAUUCCAGGUGUAGCGGUGAAAUGCGUAGAGAUCUGGAGGAAUACCGAUGGCGAAGGCAGCCAUCUGGCCUAAUACUGACGCUGAGGUACGAAAGCAUGGGGAGCAAACAGGAUUAGAUACCCUGGUAGUCCAUGCCGUAAACGAUGUCUACUAGCCGUUGGGGCCUUUGAGGCUUUAGUGGCGCAGCUAACGCGAUAAGUAGACCGCCUGGGGAGUACGGUCGCAAGACUAAAACUCAAAUG